UAAUAAGUGUUUUAUGGCACUUUUUAAAUCCAUAUCCACCUUGUGUGCAAUGUCGGUCGAUCUUCUUUUUUUGAGGAUCGACCAAACAUCAACCUUUAUCUUUUAACUCUUUGUCUUAAAAAUAUUAUGAAUAAACAAUUCAAAAUA
rnacentral:misc_RNA from 1 species